rnacentral:rRNA from 1 species
GAUGAACGCUGGCGGCGUGCCUAAUACAUGCAAGUCGAGCGAACGGACGAGAAGCUUGCUUUUCUGAGGUUAGCGGCGGACGGGUGAGUAACACGUGGAUAACCUACCUAUAAGACUGGGAUAACUUCAGGAAACCGGAGCUAAUACCGGAUAAUAUUUUGAACCGCAUGGUUCAAAAGUGAAAGACGGUCUUGCUUUCACUUAUAGAUGGAUCCGCGCUGCAUUAGCUAGUUGGUAAGGUAACGGCUUACCAAGGCAACGAUGCAUAGCCGACCUGAGAGGGUGAUCGGCCACCCUGGAACUGAGACACGGUCCAGACUACUACGGGAGGCAGCAGUAGGGAAUCUUCCGCAAAGGGCGAAAGACUGACGGAGCAACGCCGCGUGAGUGAUGAAGGUCUUCGGAUCGUAAAACUCUGUUAUUAGGGAAGAACAUAUGUGUAAGUAACUGUGCACAUCUUGACGGUACCUAAUCAGAAAGCCACGGCUAACUACGUG